UACGUAGGUGGCAAGCGUUGUUCGGAAUUAUUGGGCGUAAAGGGCGCGUAGGCGGUUUGUUAAGUCGAAUGUGAAAGCCCCCGGCUCAACUGGGGAGGGUCAUUCGAUACUGAUCGACUUAAGGCAGGAGAGGGUAAGUGGAAUUCCGGUGUGUAGUAGGUGAAAUUCGUAGAUAUUCGGAAGAACACCAGUGGCGAAGGCGACUUACUGGACACAUAUUGACGCUGAGGUGCGAAAGCGUGGGGAGCAAACAGGG
rnacentral:rRNA from 1 species